CUAAUGCUGACUUAAAGGAAAAGUUCAGUUUAGGGUUUAGAACCCUAAUGCUGACUAAAGGGAAAAAUUCAGCUUAGGGUUUAAAACCCUAAUGCUGACUGAAGGAAAAAGUUCAGUUUAGGGUUUAAAACCCUAAUGCUGACUGAAGGAAAAAGUUCAGUUUAGGGUUUAAAACCCUAAUGCUGACUGAAUGGAAAAGUUCAGUUUAGGGUUUAAAACCCUAAUGCUGACUGAAGGAAAAAGUUCAGUUUAGGGUUUAAAACCCUAAUGCUGACUAAUGGAAAAAGUUCAGUUUAGUGUUUAAAAACCCUAAUGCUGACUAAAGAAAAAAGUUCAGUUUAGGGUUUAAAACCCUAAUGCUGACUGAAAGGAAAAGUUCAGUUUAGGGUUUAAAACCCCUAAUGCUGACUAAAAGAAAAGUUCGGUUUAGGGAUUU
rnacentral:lncRNA from 1 species